UUGAGUCAGCCUCACACAGAUCACACACAGACAUGGGUGUGCCCACUCAGCUCCUGGGGUUGUUGCUGCUGUGGAUUACAGAUGCCAUACGUGACAUCCAGAUGACACAGUCUCCAGCUUCCCUGUCUGCAUCUCUGGGAGAAACUGUCACCAUCCAAUGUCGAGCAAGUGAGGACAUUUACAGUGGUUUAGCGUGGUAUCAGCAGAAGCCAGGGAAAUCUCCUCAGCUCCUGAUCUAUGGUGCAAGUAGCUUGCAAGACGGCGUCCCAUCACGAUUCAGUGGCAGUGGAUCUGGCACACAGUAUUCUCUCAAGAUCAGCAGCAUGCAAACUGAAGAUGAAGGGGUUUAUUUCUGUCAACAGGGUUUAAAGUAUCCUCCCACAGUAAUACAAGCCAUGACAUAAACCAUGCAGGGAAGCAGAAGUGAGAGUACAGGGUGCCCCUA
rnacentral:lncRNA from 1 species